UAUGUAUACUUUUCCUAGUAAAAACACUACUAAGGUAAAAUAUAGGCAUAAUGCCGAAUACCUUCAGCAUCUGACAUUCACGUCUUUUUACAACCACUCACUUGGUAUUCAUUUACCUCUGGCACUCGGCACUCGGCACUCUGGCACUCAUAACUCACAUGUCGCCUUAUUAGCAAGCCAUGGCCAACUCAUUGAGUGGAUUCCGCCAGCUUCUGGUUUUCCUUUUGCUGUUUUGGCCAUUCACUUGCUGGCAUUUGGCGCAGAUUGGUCAAAGGGCAUCAGCCACCGAGAUCUCGGCUCCAAAGACAUAAACGUGGACGUGGACCAUGGACCUGAUGGAGCUGAUGGAACUGAUGGAGCUGCAGCUGAAUUAGGAGUGGAGUUUCGAACGUGAGCCAAGUGCCACACCCUUUUGGGAUACUGCACUGUACGAAGAGAGCAACCAAAAAUCAUGAUAACUAUGUUAUAUAACAUUUUGGUCAAAUCAAUUUUUCUGAGUGCAACUGAAAGAGUUACGCGGGCUGGAUAACAUUUUCCCACAGGCGCCGCCAUCAGGCGCUGCCAUAAACGAGCUACGUGUCGCCAUCAGGUGGCGUUGUCCCGCCCCAGCACUCGCAUAUCGAGCAAAUCUACAGAAUCUGGUGAAUCUGCUGCCUCGUAAAAACAUCCUCCAUCCGAGCAACAUCCUCCGAGGGAAAUUAAAGAAAGGCGACUGGAGCAGGCGCUUAGACAAAGUCAACCCUUUGAUAAAGUUGCCCAGAUGAAUGGACCAGUUGUAGUGGCAGGGGUACGUUGGAGGGUUGGGGGGUGCUGUGAUUCUAUUAGCAAUUUCUGCGGAAAUCGAGGCAUCUCUAGAACCGUUAGCAUCAAAGGGCAGCGCCACUUGACCGCCGUUCCGAGCCGUCAGCAAGCGAAGCGCUUGAGCGAAAACAGUAGCGCCGUACCCACCGGUACCGCCCGCGCCCCCCUCCUCUCACCCUUCUUUCUGCACGGAAAAAAUAAUAAAACACUAAAUUAUAUAUUCUUCAUGUUUAUUAAAUGGUUGUGUAUAAUCUGAGGGCAUUAUAAAACAAGCUCUCAUCGACCCAGUUCCAGUGGCUGCAAAAACAACUGCUCGAGUAUAAAGCCUAAUGCGAAAAAUUCGCAGAAAUCUGUCAUCGCCUUGUCAACGCUUCGUCAUCGUCAUCCUCAGUGGCAGUGGCAGUGGCAGCACAGGAAGAAGCCAGCGGACCAUGGAGUCACUGAGCCCGAAAAACCAAACCGUUCUGCCCCACCCCUCCCUUCUCUUGGCUUCCCAGUGCCUGGCAAAGUGUGGCUCCAAUUGGCGGACAGACAAGCGGACAAACGGACGGACAAACGAAAAUAUUGUUCCAUCAAAAAUCUGAGCAACGUUUGCUGAUUUACACGUUGAUGCCUUUGCUGCCGUCGCCGUUGUCACUGUCGGCGAUCAUAUCAAAGCGGCCGGCAUACAGAUAAGCAAGAGUGUAGGAGUUUGGGAGCUAAAUAAAAAAUAAAAAGGACUGCCAAAGGCUCCGACAACUGAAGGCGAGGGGAGCUUGACGACAGUGGAAAGCCAAAGUCUCCGAUCCUGACCAAUCUCUGGCGACAUAAACUGGCGUCUAUCCAAUUGCUGUCUCCAUGCCCUCUGAUUAACGAAGAAUCGCCCGCAUUUCGGACCAACGCUUUUCUGGCCGUGUGUCUGCGGACAACCGCUUAGAUGGAGAGCUCGAGAGCUGGAGAGCUGGACAAACGGAUGCUUGGAAGGAUGACUGGGGAAUUGGAUGCUCCGAUUGUUGUUGCUGCGAGCGGACGGAAGCUAUCGGCCGGGCGGAAGUGAACGGCCGCCGUUGGCGUUUUGGCCACGUGAUCGGAAGGAAGCUCAACUUGCGAAUUGAAACAUCCGAUGCAGACGACAAGGGCAUCGAGAUGUCGCGAUGUCAGCAGCAGCGUCCUUCGUCCUACGUCCUGCUUCCUGCGUGUCCUCGAAAGUCCUCGGGCAAAGUGACACCAAAUUGUCGGCUAAUCUGUCGAUGACUUUUCACCCCCCAAAAGCCAAAAAACCAAAAAACCCAACCCCUCGAACUGUCAGAUCGCAAAUUUAAUUUGCACCCAACAACAAUGAAACAACUUUUCUAAAUUCAAAUAUUCAAAUAUUCUUUUCUAAUUAUUUGUAAACUGAGUUAGGGUAAGCCGGAAUCAACAAUUCAGGGAUAAAUAAAAAGAAUUAUACUAAGCGUAUGGCGAUAUUUUGCAAGUAAAAAACUUUUGUAAUCCUUGGUUAAGUGACAAAUCAAAGAGUUUAUUUGUUGAGAAGUACACCCUCUAAUUUAAA